UGGGGAACCUGCCCCAUAGUCUGGGAUACCACUUGGAAACAGGUGCUAAUACCGGAUAAGAAAGCGGAUCGCAUGAUCAGCUUUUAAAAGGCGGCGUAAGCUGUCGCUAUGGGAUGGCCCCGCGGUGCAUUAGCUAGUUUGUAAGGUAAAGGCUUACCAAGGCGAUGAUGCAUAGCCGAGUUGAGAGACUGAUCGGCCACAUUGGGACUGAGACACGGCCCAAACUCCUACGGGAGGCAGCAGCA
rnacentral:rRNA from 1 species